rnacentral:rRNA from 1 species
CCUACGGGUGGCUGCAGUGGGGAAUAUUGGACAAUGGGGGGAACCCUGAUCCAGCCAUGCCGCGUGUGUGAAGAAGGCCCUCGGGUUGUAAAGCACUUUCAGUGAGGAAGAACGCCUGGUGGUUAAUACCCAUCAGGAAAGACAUCACUCACAGAAGAAGCACCGGCUAACUCCGUGCCAGCAGCCGCGGUAAUACGGAGGGUGCGAGCGUUAAUCGGAAUUACUGGGCGUAAAGCGCGCGUAGGUGGCUUGAUAAGCCGGUUGUGAAAGCCCUGGGCUCAACCUGGGAACGGCAUCCGGAACUGUCAAGCUAGAGUGCAGGAGAGGAAGGUAGAAUUCCCGGUGUAGCGGUGAAAUGCGUAGAGAUCGGGAGGAAUACCAGUGGCGAAGGCGGCCUUCUGGACUGACACUGACACUGAGGUGCGAAAGCGUGGGUAGCAAACAGGAUUAGAUACCCUAGUAGUC